CCUACGGGAGGCAGCAGUGAGGAAUAUUGGUCAAUGGACGAGAGUCUGAACCAGCCAAGUAGCGUGAAGGAUGACUGCCCUAUGGGUUGUAAACUUCUUUUAUAUGGGAAUAAAAUGUUCCACGUGUGGGAUUUUGUCUGUACCAUAUGAAUAAGGAUCGGCUAACUCCGUGCCAGCAGCCGCGGUAAUACGGAGGAUCCGAGCGUUAUCCGGAUUUCUUGGGUUUAAGGGGAGCGUAGGUGGUUUGUUAAGUCAGUUGUGAAAGUUUGCGGCUCAACCGUAAAAUUGCAGUUGAAACUGGCAGUCUUGAGUACAGUAGAGGUGGGCGGAAUUCGUGGUGUAGCGGUGAAAUGCUUAGAUAUCACGAAGAACUCCGAUUGCGAAGGCAGCUCACUGGACUGCAACUGACACUGAGGCUCGAAAGUGUGGGUAUCAAACAGGAUUAGAUACCCCUGUAGUC
rnacentral:rRNA from 1 species